AAGACCGCAGGCAGCAGGCCUCCAGACCCCACAUUCUCAGGGCGAAGCGAGAACCCUGACCACAGUAUUUCAUGCCUACGUCACACACAUCUGCUCAGGAAGGCUCUCUCUCGCUUCCUCUCUCUCCCUCUGCAGACACCAUGGCAGGGGGCCCGCUUGUCACACUGGGCCCCAGAUGGCUUAGAUCGGAGGCACCCCACCGAAAGCAGCGCCCCACCCUCCUGAAAGCCCCCUUACCAGUCACGACGGGCCACCACCAAGCCAGACCCUGGAGCUGGGCAGACUAGGAGCCACACAAAGCAGGAAAAGUUGCUCUGAUUAAUAUUACGUUAAAUUAAAACUGAUUUUCUGCU